rnacentral:lncRNA from 3 species
AUGGCUUCCUGGAUGUGCCGCAUGGCUGAUCAGGCGAGGUCGGUGGCAUCACUAGUAGCAAGCAUCAAUAGUCCUCGCCACCGUCGUUGUGCUGUGGCACAACUCGCGGACGCCAACCUCAUUCUAGAUCUGGCGAUGGAAGUGGUGUGGGCGACGACGAGCUCACGGAUGCCAAUGCCAAAUUUGUUGGCGAGCUCCAUCCGUGGAGCCACUCUCCCCCUCCCCCCCAACCCUGAAUGCCCGAAGCUCCGCACCCUUCCGUUGCCG